CACGUAGUUAGCCGGGGCUUUCUCGUGAGGUACCGUCACCGCGCCGCCUUAUUCAAACAGCGCUCCUUCGUCCCUCACAACAGAGCUUUACGACCCGAAGGCCUUCUUCGCUCACGCGGCGUCGCUCCGUCAGACUUUCGUCCAUUGCGGAAGAUUCCCUACUGCUGCCUCCCGUAGGAGUCUGGGCCGUGUCUCAGUCCCAGUGUGGCCGGUCACCCUCUCAGGCCGGCUACGCAUCGUCGCCUUGGUGAGCCGUUACCUCACCAACUAGCUAAUGCGCCGCGGGCCCAUCCGCAAGUGGCAGCCGAAGCCGCCUUUCAACCAAAGACCAUGCGGUCUUUGGUGUUAUCCGGUAUUAGCUCCGGUUUCCCGGAGUUAUCCCGGUCUUGCGGGUCAGGUUGCCCACGUGUUACUCACCCGUCCGCCGCUGACCAAACAAGAGCAAGCUCUCGUUCGGUCCGCUCGACUUGCAUGUAUUAGGCACGCCGCCAGCGUCGUCUCGUGCCACGG
rnacentral:rRNA from 1 species